GUAAGGUGGAGGGUUAGGUGGAGGGUAAGGUGGAGGGUAUGGUAGAGGAUAAGGUGGAGGAUAUGGUGGAGGGUAUGGUGGAGGGUAAGGUGGAGGAUAAGGUGGAGGAUAUGGUGGAGGGUAUGGUGGAGGGUAAGGUGGAGGAUAAGGUGGAGGGUAAGGUGGAGGAUAAGGUGGAGGGUAUGGUGGAGGAUAAGGUGGAGGAUAAGGUGGAGGAUAAGGUGGAGGGUAUGGUGGAGGAUAAGGUGGAGGGUAUGGUGGAGGAUAUGGUGGAGGGUAUGGUAGAGGAUAAGGUGGAGGGUAUGGUGGAGGAUAUGGUGGAGGGUAUGGUAGAGGAUAAGGUGGAGGGUAUGGUGGAGGGUAAGGACAUUUAAUGUAAAAUGUUGGGUUGGAAAUACAAUCAUGGCUCUGAUGUGUACAGUACGGUAGAGGCAGACAACACUGUGCUUUCCUUUGUACACAGAAACUCUUCCUGUUUCUUUGUCUCUUGGUCUUUCCAUGUCUCUCUCUGCCUUUUCCAUAUCCUCCUCUCUCCUCUUCUCUCUCUUACCAUACC
ensembl:lncRNA